UCAAGCUAUAAAGAGCGCAGGGUGGAUGCCUUGGCACUAAGAGCCGAUGAAAGACGUGAUAAGCUGCGAUAAGCUUCGGGGAGGAGCAAAUAUCCUUUGAUCCGGAGAUCUCUGAAUGGGGAAACCCGGCUGAGCAAACCUCAGUCGUCGUAUGGUGAAUUCAUAGCCAUACGUCGGGAACCGCCUGAACUGAAACAUCUAAGUAGGGCGAGGAAAAGAAAGAAAACUCGAUUUCCAAAGUAGCGGCGAGCGAAAUGGAAGGAGCCUAAACCGGAGCGCGUGCGUUCCGGGGUUAUGGACCGCGUCAAGUGAGUCGUAUGGUAAUGGAACGGUCUGGAAAGUCCGGCCAGAGAGGGUGAAAGCCCCGUACAUGAAACCAGAAGACAGCGAGCGGGAUCCGAAGUACUGCGAGACACGUGGAACCUUGCAGGAAGUCGGGGGGACCACCCCCCAAGGCUAAAUACUCCUUAGUGACCGAUAGCGCAUAGUACUGUGAAGGAAAGGUGAAAAGGACCCCGGGAGGGGAGUGAAAGAGAACCUGAAACCCUGUGUUUACAAGCUGUCGAAGCACGUUAGUGCGACGGCGUACUUUUUGUAGAACGGUCCGGCGAGUUAUGAUACGCGGUAAGGUUAAGGACUUAAGGUCCGGAGCCGAAGCGAAAGCGAGUGUUAAUAGCACGAAGAAUCACGUAUCAUAGACCCGAAACCGGGUGAUCUAUCCAUGUCCAGGAUGAAGCUGCCGUAAGAGGUAGUGGAGGUCCGAACACACAUCCGUUGAAAAGGGUGGUGAUGAGGUGUGGAUAGGGGAGAAAUUCCAAUCGAACCCGGAGAUAGCUGGUUCUCCUCGAAAUAGCUUUAGGGCUAGCCUCGUUUUAGUCUUAUGGAGGUAGAGCACUGAAUUUCCGCGGGGGCGUCAAAGCUUACCAAAGAAUAUCAAACUCCGAAUGCCAUGUAGAUGAUGAACGGGAGUCAGACUGCACGAGAUAAGUUGGGCAGUCAAAAGGGAAAGAGCCCAGACCGCCAGCUAAGGUCCCAAAGUGUGUGUUAAGUGGAAAAGGAUGUGGGAUCUCCAAGACAACUAGGAUGUUGGCUCAGAAGCAGCCACACAUUCAAAGAGUGCGUAACAGCUCACUAGUCGAGAGGUCCUGCGCCGAAAAUGUCCGGGGCUAAAACACAACACCGAAGCUGUGGAAUCACGUAGUGAUUGGUAGAGGAGCAUUCUUAAGACCGACGAAGCUGUACCGGAAGGAGCAGUGGAGGGAUAAGAAGAGAGAAUGCCGGAAUGAGUAGCGAGAGAGAGGUGAGAAUCCUCUCGGCCGAAUAUCCAAGGUUUCCAGAGUAAAGCUGAUCUGCUCUGGGUAAGUCGGGGCCUAAGGAGAGGUCGAAAGACGUAUCCGAUGGACAACAGGUUUAGAUUCCUGUACCACAUAUGAACAGAACUGUGGGGACGCAUGUGGAGAGCACGAGCCGGGAAUGGAAAUACCGGUACAAGCGGAGAAGGAGUCUGGUUGGCAAAUCCGCCAGGCAAUCCGAAGACGUGAUGUGGAGCGAAUUAGAGUAGCGAAGCGUGUGAGCCAUGUGCCGAGAAAAGCCGCUAUUGUUUCAUGUGUGCCCGUACCGUAAACCGACACAGGUGGAUGAGGAGAGAAUCCUAAGGCCGGCGGAAGAAGCAUUGUUAAGGAACUCGGCAAAAUGACCCCGUAACUUCGGGAGAAGGGGUGCCUGCUAACGCAGGCCGCAGAGAAUAGGCUCAAGCAACUGUUUAGCAAAAACACAGGUCUAUGCGAAACCGAAAGGUGAAGUAUAUGGGCUGACGCCUGCCCGGUGCUGGAAGGUUAAGAGGAGAGGUUAGCGCAAGCGAAGCUUUGAAUUUAAGCCCCAGUAAACGGCGGCCGUAACUAUAACGGUCCUAAGGUAGCGAAAUUCCUUGUCGGGUAAGUU
rnacentral:rRNA from 1 species